CACGCCCUCCUCCAGGAAGCCGUCCUCCAGGAAGCCGUCCUCCAGGAAGCCGUCCUCCAGGAAGCCCUCCUCAACGCCCACCGGCCACGCGGCUGCGUCAGGACGCAACUGCUCUGACCCCAGCAUCUCAUCGCGUGUCCCCAGCGUCGCCCAGUGCCCUUCUCCAGGGUGCUGUCUUGUGCCACCGUCCCCUGGCCAGUGCGGCCACGGAGCACCUCCUGCGUGCCAGGCGCUGUGCCCAGCCCAGUGAUACAGCAGGAAGCAGGAGGUCACAUUUUAGUGGGCAGAGGCAGACAAGAAACAGGAAGGACACAAGUAAACAAGCUCCAGCUUGGACUUGUGCGCGCACCCGUGCCAGGACCUCUGCCUGCAGAGACCCACGCUGACCGCACAAGCUCCAGAGGUCCACCGACUUGCUCCCCGUGAAACUGGUGAAAAGUAGGAAAACAACGAAAAAAAUAUUCAAAGUUUCUGGAAAUGGCCCACAGGGUAAACAGAAAUGAAGAAACAUCUGUUCAAGAACAGACUUCUGUUUAAACUGUGGUGUCCAGUCUCCUGAUUGGACCCUGACUGCUACUCUCAGCAGAUCCUGCACCAUGUGGACCUUCUUGAAAAAACUACUCAGUAAUGAAAUCUGACCAACCUAUGAGGAAUUGAAAUAAAGAACUCAGAAACAGAAAAGCCAUGAGAAAAGGACUGAAGGAAACGUUUCUACGGAAGUAGCAUAUGCUUACGGGAAAGGGCCCACGUCAGAAACGAGGGGCUCAAGGAGUGUCCACAGAGGCCCAGCUCCCUGCCCGCCUCCUGCUUCUGCCAGCAUGUCCCCGGGGUGACCACCCUCCUCAGUGCUCACAAUGCAGAUUCUGCUUUCCGAAGAGCCUGUACCAGACAAGCAAGCUAUCUUCAUCACAACUGAUGAAAAAACUGAGACUCUGAGAGGGAAGUGACUUGUCCAAAGCCACGCAGCUGGGAUGGAGCAGUCUGGCUCCAGAGCCUCUGGGUUCCUAAGGUCACUUGAGUGACCCAGCCCCAUACCACGGAUAAAGAGACCUGAACCUCGCCUGCUCUGAGCACAGAGACAAAUGUGGCCCCAGAUGUCUCCCCCCAGGCAGAGUGACCUGGAGGGCCCCCUUCAGCCUGGGCACUGCUCAUCUGGAUGUGGGCGGUCAGCCCUGGGUCAGGGCAGGGGAUGGUGCCCAGCUGCCUGGGUGCUGGCACUGGAAGGGCAGCUGUGGGUUAAAAUCCUAACUGUACCACUCUCUGCUGUGUGAUUCCAGGCAAGUCACCUAGCUGCUCUGUGCCUCAGUUUCCCCUUCUGUAGAAUGGAGAUGAUCAUAGCACCUCCUUUAGAAGAUUGCUGUGAGGAUUAGAUUAAACAAUACACAUAAAGCACCUGACUGCUGGUUUUCCAUGGGCUCCCCUUGGGUGCCUCUGACUCUCCUGGUUCUGGAAACUCUCGCCUCACAUUCAGCAGGGUGUGCAAUAAACCUGGUCUCCCAGACUCAGAGACAUCAUAAACCAAUGUUUCUGAAUUCUCCCACUGGUCCUCUGGGGUUGGUAUUAUUUAUCAGACCCCCUCUAUGAAGGAAGAAACAGAGGCACUUGCUCUGCAGCCAGAAAAAGGAGUGAAGAGGGUGGCUGUGUGUAGAUAGGAAGUGAUCUCUCUCUCUUUUUUUUUUUUUUUUUUGGCCCUGUUGCUUGGCAUGUAGGAUCUUAGUUCCCCGACCAGGGAUCAAACCUGUGCCCCCUGCAGUGGAAGCAUAGGGUCUUAACCACUGGACCACCAGGGAAGUCCCAGGAAGUGAACUGUAAGUGAUAUUGUUAGAUAUUUUAAAUUGGGGGAAAACCAAGCACAGAACAAUGUGGAGUAUAUGCUCACAUUUGAGUGA